AGAUUGAACUCUGGCGGCAGGCCUAACACAUGCAAGUCGAGCGGUAGAGAGGUGCUUGCAUCUCUUGAGAGCGGCGGACGGGUGAGUAAUGCCUAGGAAUCUGCCUAGUGGUGGGGGAUAACGUUCGGAAACGGACGCUAAUACCGCAUACGUCCUACGGGAGAAAGCGGGGGACCUUCGGGCCUCGCGCCAUUAGAUGAGCCUAGGUCGGAUUAGCUAGUUGGUGAGGUAAUGGCUCACCAAGGCGACGAUCCGUAACUGGUCUGAGAGGAUGAUCAGUCACACUGGAACUGAGACGCGGUCCAGACUCCUACGGGAGCAGCAGUGGGAAUAGUGGACAAGUGGGCGAAAGCCUGAUCCAGCCAUGCCGCGUGUGUGAAGAGGUCUCGGAUUGAAAGCAUUUAAGUGGAGGUAAGGUUAGUAACGUUAAUACGUUGACUAACGUUUGUACGUUAACCGACAAGAAAUAACGACGAACCGGU
rnacentral:rRNA from 1 species